rnacentral:rRNA from 1 species
ACGCUCGACACCUACAGGAGGCAGCAGUGGGGAAUAUUGCACAACGGAGGAAACUCUGAUGCAGCGACGCCGCGUGAGGGAAGAAGGUCUUCGGAUUGUAAACCUCUGUUGUCAGGGACGAUGAUGACGGUACCUGACGAGGAAGCCACGGCUAACUACGUGCCGGCAGCCGCGGUAAUCUGAGCGGGCUGGCAAGGC